UGGGGAAUAUUGGACAAUGGGCGCAAGCCUGAUCCAGCCAUGCCGCGUGAGUGAAGAAGGCCUUAGGGUUGUAAAACUCUUUCGCCGGGGAAGAUAAUGACGGUACCCGGAGAAGAAGCUCCGGCUAACUUCGUGCCAGCAGCCGCGGUAAUACGAAGGGAGCUAGCGUUGUUCGGAAUUACUGGGCGUAAAGCGCACGUAGGCGGACUUGUCAGCCAGGGGUGAAAUCCCAAGGCUCAACCUUGGAACUGCCUCCGAUACAGCAAGCCUAGAGAUCGGGAGAGGUGAGUGGAAUUCCUAGUGUAGAGGUGAAAUUCGUAGAUAUUAGGAAGAACACCAGUGGCGAAGGCGGCUCACUGGCCCGAUACUGACGCUGAGGUGCGAAAGCGUGGGGAGCAAACAGGAUUAGAUACCCUUGUAGUCCCUGAGCGGGCUGGCAAGGCGCAU
rnacentral:rRNA from 1 species